UCUGCUCAAAGUAUCUGUUGUACCCUACACUAGUCUAAUGUUCGAUUCAAAUAGAUGUUGUCAUUAUUUUACUAAGUAUUUCAAUGUGAUGAAAUUGUGCUGAUUCAUAAUCUGAGUUCCUGAGAAUGUAUUUGACGUAUUUCUUCCUGUCUUGGUAGUUUCCUCCGAUUUUACAGCAGAAGAGAAGAUGGAGAUCGAGAGCAUUAAGACGUAUAAGGAAGACCUUCUGGAUGAUAUUCAGAAGUUAAAGAUGGAGAUAGACAAGAUCAUGGCAGGUAUACUCAGCUUCGAGUCUGGAGAUGAAAACAAGACCAUGGAGAAGGGCAAACAGUUCUCAAACGGAAAGAAAAAAUUCAACAUGGACCCCAAAAAGGUGAAUU